rnacentral:rRNA from 1 species
GAUGAACGCUGGCGGCGUGCCUAAUACAUGCAAGUCGAGCGAACGGACGAGGAGCUUGCUUUUCUGAUGUUAGCGGCGGACGGGUGAGUAACACGUGGAUAACCUACCUAUAAGACUGGGAUAACUUCGGGAAACCGGAGCUAAUACCGGAUAAUAUUUUGAACCGCAUGGUUCAAAAGUGAAAGACGGUCUUGCUGUCACUUAUAGAUGGAUCCGCGCUGCAUUAGCUAGUUGGUAAGGUAACGGCUUACCAAGGCAACGAUGCAUAGCCGACCUGAGAGGGUGAUCGGCCACACUGGAACUGAGACACGGUCCAGACUCCUACGGGAGGCAGCAGUAGGGAAUCUUCCGCAAUGGGCGAAAGCCUGACGGAGCAACGCCGCGUGAGUGAUGAAGGUCUUCGGAUCGUAAAACUCUGUUAUUAGGGAAGAACAAAUGUGUAAGUAACUGUGCACGUCUUGACGGUACCUAAUCAGAAAGCCACGGCUAACUACGUG